UAAAGAGGUAAAAUGCAAAACAAAGUGGUAAAAGUCCAUCUAUUGUCACCAACCGCUUGUCCCGGAGCCUCAGGCAGCAACAUGCGGCGCAAGGGCGAAGGAAACGCCCAGGACGGGACACCAGUCUGUUGCAAGGGACCUCAAGGAGGGCUCAAACCCAACAUCUGCCACACGGCAGGCACCGGCUGAACCCACCAAGCCACCACAUCCCUGCAAGAAAAGACAGGUCAAAAGAGGUGACUUGGCCAAGCGAAGAAGGCGAACGGGACCCCAAUUUGAAUGGGGUGGAGAAGGGAUGUCAUAAGCAGCCGUGAAAGGGAUAGCAGUGUGUUACAUUAAAGAUACGCAGGACAUGAUGUAACACCCCAACAUACUGUAUUCAUCCCACCUCUGACUUGACUGGACAGGAGACCUGCCCAUCAUCAUUGACCCCAG